rnacentral:rRNA from 1 species
UACGAAGGGGGCUAGCGUUGCUCGGAAUCACUGGGCGUAAAGGGCGCGUAGGCGGACUUUUAAGUCGGAGGUGAAAGCCCAGGGCUCAACCCUGGAAUUGCCUUCGAUACUGGGAGUCUUGAGUUCGGAAGAGGUUGGUGGAACUGCGAGUGUAGAGGUGAAAUUCGUAGAUAUUCGCAAGAACACCGGUGGCGAAGGCGGCCAACUGGUCCGAAACUGACGCUGAGGCGCGAAAGCGUGGGGAGCAAACAGGAUUAGAAACCCCGGUAGUCC